UGGGGGAUAUUGCACAAUGGGCGAAAGCCUGAUGCAGCGACGCCGCGUGGGGGAUGAAGGCUUUCGGGUUGUAAACCUCUUUCGCUAUCGAACAAGGCCCGCUUAGGGUGGGUUGAGGGUAGGUGGAGAAGAAGCGCCGGCUAACUACGUGCCACCAGCCGCGGUAAUACGUAGGGCGCGAGCGUUGUCCGGAAUUAUUGGGCGUAAAGGGCUUGUAGGCGGCUUGUUGCGCCUGCUGUGAAAACGCGGGGCUUAACUUCGCGCGUGCAGUGGGUACGGGCAGGCUUGAGUGUGGUAGGGGUGACUGGAAUUCCAGGUGUAGCGGUGGAAUGCGCAGAUAUCUGGAGGAACACCGAUGGCGAAGGCAGGUCACUGGGCCAUUACUGACGCUGAGGAGCGAAAGCAUGGGUAGCGAACAGG
rnacentral:rRNA from 1 species